rnacentral:rRNA from 1 species
GAUAAACGCUGGCGGCGUGCAUAACACAUUCAAGUCGAACGGACUGAUACGAAAGCUUGCUUUUGUUGAAAGUUAGUGGCGGACGGGUGAGUAAACGCGUGAGCAACCUGCCUAUUUGAGCGGAAUAACACCCGGAAACGGGUGCUAAUACCGCAUGAAGCACACGAAUCGCAUGGUUUGUGUGUCAAAGAUUUAUCGCAGAUAGAUGGGCUCGCGUCUGAUUAGCUGGUUGGUGAGGUAACGGCUCACCAAGGCGACGAUCAGUAGCCGGACUGAGAGGUUGAACGGCCACAUUGGAACUGAGAUACGGUCCAGACUCCUACGGGAGGCAGCAGUGGGGAAUAUUGGGCAAUGGGGGCAAACCCUGACCCAGCGACGCCGCGUGAGGGAAGAAGGUCUUCGGAUUGUAAACCUUUGUUAACGGGUACGAAAAAAUGACGGUACCCGAAUAGAAAGCCACGGCUAACUACGUGCCAGCCGCCGCCGUAAAU